GCACCUGUAGCUCAGGGGAUAGAGCACUGGUUUCCUAAACCAGGUGUCGGAAGUUCGAAUCUUCCCAGGUGCGCCA
rnacentral:tRNA from 1 species